UAAAUUUUGAAUAUUCUUGAGAUGAGAGGUUCACUUUAUGUUUUUCUCAGGCGUUACAACAACUCCAGUUCCCAUCACCUCCAUGGCUGGAAGUGAGGGCACCACAGGAGCAGGGGGCUCCAUCUUCACCAGUCCUGGGAGCUUACCAGGGUCAACUGGAGCAUCAGCAAGUACAGCCACAGAAGCUGAAGCCACGAGUGACUCAGGCUUCAGAGCAGGAGGAACAGGAGCUCCUACGGCACCAGCGACAGGAGGAGAGGAAUACAGCACAUCCAUGGAACCAAGCACAGGAGCAACGAGCCCAG